GGGAUAACUACUGGAAACGGUAGCUAAUACCGCAUAACGUCGCAAGACCAAAGAGGGGGACCUUCGGGCCUCUUGCCAUCAGAUGUGCCCAGAUGGGAUUAGCUAGUUGGUGAGGUAACGGCUCACCAAGGCCACGAUGCAUAGCCGACCUGAGAGGGUGAUCGGCCACACUGGGACUGAGACACGGCCCAG
rnacentral:rRNA from 1 species